AUUCAACAGAGAUUAAAAGCAAACGAGAGAACUGGAAGCGAGGUAAUAGAGCUAAUGGAUCACUUCUUACAGAUCCCCUUUCACAAAGUCUUCUUCCCCGUCUCUGUAAAACGGAAAUAUCUCGUUUUUAAGGUGUGUCAGGACCAGGUGCAUGAGAUCGUAGAGCGGUUCUGUUGGUAAGCAUAUUGGUUUGACAUUCGGUGAAGAUUUGGAGAUUUCCACGUGAUUCUACAUACAAAAUGAAGGUCAAAAAAUUCUCAACGUAUUUCGUUUGGAAAAUAUUUUGUAUACAUUGAAACCAUUGUGUUGAAAGCUACCAAAUGGGAAAUAGGGUAUUUUUUUCCAAAUUUUAUUUGACCAUCUUUUUAAACUAGUCGUAAAGUAAUUUCAUUCAUGCCACUCAGAACUUGCUAACCUUCAAAGACGUAUUUUAACUAGUCACAUUUACUGUCAGUUGGCUAGUAGCGUUUUAUGACAUGAUGUUCAAAUGCUCAUCUAAAAAGUCUUAAAUGUUGUGAGAAUACCUGCUUCCCCCAACACCUCAGGAAGUGCUUCCAGAUUUUGGCCAUCCUCUGGAUGAAAAAUUCUCCCGAAACUCAUCUCUAAAUCUCCAUUAAACCUAUGCCUCAGCUUAUAGACAUUUCUGGUGAGGGGAAAAGUUGCUCACCCUAUAAAUGCCCCUCAUAAUUUUGUAUACUUCAGUCAAAUCAUCCCUCAGCCUUCAUGAAAACAGGCUGUUCUGGGCUAUCAAUGUCUGAUUUAUGGCCAUCCUUACAUAUGAACAAGUUCCAAUAAUAAUUUUAAAUUAAAAACUCCAAAGUACAUAGAUACGUUUAUUUCUACAAAUGACAGAAUUAGUUCCCUCUCUCUCAUUUCAAUGAUGUUCUCUCUUAUCAGUCGUGUGUGCUUUUCAUGCUAUUCAUUACUAUACUGUGGCAGGUGAGCUCUGUGUAUUUUCCAACUUACAGACAACAUCAACAGCACCAAUUUAUUACCCAAGGACAAUUUGUUCAAAUAAAACACAACCUGGCCUAUCUCUCCUAAUCCCAGAGAAGAUCCUGUUGAAUCUCCUAUGCACCUUCUCCAGUUCAAUCACAUUGCCAAAGCACGGUGGCAUUACAGACCAUGCAAUUUUAAAGAGAAGUUACUUGUGGGUCGCUAGGGACAAUAGUGGGUCAAAGGGUCUGUCUCAGUGUGGUAUGACUGUUAUCUCAUUCUUCCCAUAUUGUGGUGAUCCAAAUUACACAUAGCAUGCUACCUGUGGCCCAACUAAUGAUUUCUAUUGUUGUAUCAUUAGUGUUUUGCUCUUAAAUACUUUGUACCAACUAGUAAAGGCAACACCCUCUUACAAACCUUAUUUACUCGACUCGCUGCUUCAGAGCUACUGUUGUACAUACGCUAUGUUUCCUUUGUACCUCAGUAUGUUCCAGGGUCCUGUGUUUCAUUACGUAUAUCCUAGUCUUUUUAGUUCUCCCAAAAUUAGCCCUCACAUUUUCUGGGUUAAACUCCAUGUCAUUUCUUUGCCCUAAUAGGUUAAUACCACUCUAUUGCCAAAGAUUUCCAUCCUCACUAUUAACAUCACCAAUCUUUUUAACUCUGGCAUUCACAUCCAGAUUGUUAAUUUAUAUGACAAACAGGAAGAGCCCCAGCAUUGAUGCCUGUAAUGGGGCUUCAAUUACAAAAGCAAUCCUCAACAAUCACCCUCUGCCUUUGUUAAUGUCCAGUUUGACAAGUUGUCCUGGAUUCAAUGGUGUGGAACCACUUGGACCCAUCAUUCACGUAGGACCUUGUCAAAGGCCUUAUUAAAGAUCCUGCUACAGCACCACUCUUGUUCACUCACUUAGGCGUCUCCCCAAUAACUUCAAUCAAAUUGAUUAGACAUUGCUUCUUCCUUAACAAAGCCUCACCAAGUGCAGAUGAAUCCUGUUUAACUUUUCCCCAAUAAUUUCACUAUCACUGACCUGUAACAAUUGGGCCUAUCCCUGCUACCUUUCUCAAUUAAAGAUUCUGCAGCCAGAGGAGAUUUGAGUGUUUUAGUCAGAACCCAAAGAACUCCUUCUCUUGCCUCUUAUUGCAACGGGGAUGCAAUACUUCAGGCCCCUGAAGAUUUCUCCACCCUUAAACCUUCCUAAUCAUUGAAUAGCAAUCCCCUUCCAUGGUAAUUUACUCUAGAAUUCCAGCAAUCAUCUCUCUGCACUCUCUAACUACAGUCCUUCUCUACAGUGAAUGCAAAUGAAAAGUAUUCAAUAUUAAGAAAUUACUCAAAUCCUCCACUUUCCUCCACAGAUUGCCACCUUGAUCCCCAAUGGGAAUGGCUCAAUGUAGUGGCAGGUUUUCUCCCUGAAAUCCUGCAGCUUCACUUCAGUUCCUUGAAAUUUAACUGAGAUCUGGAGUUUAGAACUUGUGAGAAGCUGAACUGAACAUUUUGAACUCCAGGUUUAAGGCGACGCUGGGAAAGCACAGUGACAACUUGCUGGAUUCAAAAACAACUAUUAACUAUUUUAUUAUUCACUUUUUCUCAAAAAUGAUCACCUGUAACUUCCCUUUCGGAGUUGAGCUUACAAACUGCCUGUAUGACCUGGCAUUGUAACAUUGUGAACUGGAAGACUCGAAGGUGCAGGAAGUUUGUGGCGUGGCACAAACUGUACAGGCUGAGGUGACAGUGCCUAAGCACGAGGGCUGGGAAUAAGCCAAGGUUUGACUGAUUAAAACCCUGAGCUGGAUCGAGGCAGCAGGUCCCAGACCUCAGUGCAAGGGACAACUCAUUGUUUAGCUGAUUUGAGUGCUGGACGGAUUGAAAGGUCAGAAUGUUGUGGCAAGAUAUGAGGGAUGGGCUGGUGUUCAGCUCACUGCUUGUCAAGGUUUACUCAUCUCUGCAAUGAACUGGGGCUGCGGCCUACGAUUAACAGGCUCCUGGAUUGGCUGUGACUGGCUUUGUGGCUGUGGACUCACAUUUGUGAACUCCAGUUCUGAACGUUAUUUGCUUAUUUUUAUUGUUUGCAUGAUUUGUUUUUUUCCCUGCACAUUGUACAUUUGAUGGUGUUUUUUUGAAUAAGUUCUAUUGGGAUCCUUUGUUUUGUGGCUGCCUGUAAGGAGA